rnacentral:rRNA from 1 species
CCUACGGGUGGCAGCAGUGGGGAAUAUUGGGCAAUGGGCGCAAGCCUGACCCAGCAACGCCGCGUGAAGGAAGAAGGCUUUCGGGUUGUAAACUUCUUUUCUCAGGGACGAAGCAAGUGACGGUACCUGAGGAAUAAGCCACGGCUAACUACGUGCCAGCAGCCGCGGUAAUACGUAGGGGGCAAGCGUUAUCCGGAUUUACUGGGUGUAAAGGGAGUGUAGGCGGGGACGCAAGUCAGAUGUGAAAACCCUGGGCUCAACCGGUGGCCUGCAUUUGAAACUGUGGUUCUUGAGUACUGGGGAGGCAGACGGAAUUCCUAGUGUAGCGGUGAAAUGCGUAGAUAUUAGGAAGAACACCAGUGGCGAAGGCAGUCUGCUGGACAGCAACUGACGCUGAGGCGCGAAAGCGUGGGGAGCAAACAGGAUUAGAUACCCCAGUAGUC